rnacentral:misc_RNA from 1 species
GAUGAAGAACGUAGCAAAAUGCGAUAAGUAAUGUGAAUUGCAGAAUUCAGUGAAUCAUCGAAUCUUUGAACGCACAUUGCGCCCGCCAGUAUUCUGGCGGGCAUGCCUGUUCGAGCAUCAUUUCAACCCUCAAGCUCAGCUUGGUGUUGGGACUCGCGGUAACCCGCGUUCCCCAAAUCGAUUGGCGGUCACGUCGAGCUUCCAUAGCGUAGUAAUCAUACACCUCGUUACUGGUAAUCGUCGCGGCCACGCCGUAAAACCCCAACUUCUGAAUGUUGACCUCGGAUCAGGUAGGAAUACCCGCUGAACUUAAGCAUAUCAAUAAGCGGAGGA